rnacentral:rRNA from 1 species
UACGUAGGGGGCAAGCGUUGUCCGGAAUCAUUGGGCGUAAAGAGCGUGUAGGCGGUUCGGUAAGUCGGCUGUGAAAGUCCAGGGCUCAACCCUGGGAUGCCGGUCGAUACUGCCGGACUAGAGUUCGGAAGAGGCGAGUGGAAUUCCCCGGUGUAGCGGUGAAAUGCGCAGAUAUCGGGAGGAACACCUAUGGCGAAGGCAGCUCGCUGGGGACGUUACUGACGCUGGGACGCGAAAGCGUGGGGAGCAAACAGGG